rnacentral:lncRNA from 1 species
UAUGGUGUCUCUACCCAUCACGAUCUUGUUAUGCCACAUGUGUUCGACUUGGCACUUGUAAGGACUAUCAUCGCCUUGGAAGUCGGCUCAAAAGUGGCUCAUCUUGUCAACCCUGGGUAUGACUUGCUUCCUACCGACUUGCCUCAUAACUCGCAGGGGGACAUAUGGGUAGUUUCCCCUCAUGCCAAUUAGUAUCAAGAAAGGUGCGUCUCUAGAUCGGACGAUGAACUCCUCCAUAGGAAUCCAUUCGAACAUCCACUGAACUUUUUACUCAGUCAAAUUAUCAAAUAGUUCAACCCAUCCCUUAGCAUCCUCGGGCUGAGCGAACAUGUCAGGGAUGUAAUUCAUUCGCUUUGGAUGGUGGAAAACGAUGAGAUCAUCCCAGUACCUACGCUGAAUUUCUUGUCGAUAUUCUCCCUUUUGAAGAUGCUCUGUGAGCCAAAGUUGAAGUAGUAGAUUGCAGCCUUCAAACUGUUUUUCUCCUCGUUGACACUUCUCUAAGGCUCGGUAUAUGUCUGCAAUAAUCAUCGGUACAAUAUUGAAUAACUGCCCCUCAAUCCCCUCCAUUAGGCUUUUGGUUACCAUAGCUAGCCUAGUAUGAAUUCUACCGUUCUUCAUCGGAAAUACAAUCAGACCCAGGAAGCAAAAUAUGAAGACGAAAAUCCUUCGGUGGACGUGCCCCAAAGAUGUGAU